rnacentral:rRNA from 1 species
CCUACGGGUGGCAGCAGUGAGGAAUAUUGGUCAAUGGCCGAAAGGCUGAACCAGCCACGCCGCGUGAAGGAAGAAGGAUCUCUGGUUUGUAACCUUCUUUUAUAGGGGAAUAAAGGUAUCCACGUGUGGAUAUUUGCAUGUACCCUAUGAAUAAGCAUCGGCUAACUCCGUGCCAACAGCCGCGGUAAUACGGAGGAUGCGAGCGUUAUCCGGAUUUAUUGGGUUUAAAGGGUGCGUAGGUUGUUUGUUAAGUCAGUUGUGAAAGUUUUUGGCUCAACCAGAAGAUUGCCGUUGAAACUGGAAAGCUAGAGUGUGUUAGAGGUAGGCGGAAUUCGUGGUGUAGCGGUGAAAUGCAUAGAUAUCACGCAGAACACCGAUUGCGAAGACAGCUUACUGAGCCAUAACUGACACUGAGGCACGAAAGCGUGGGGAGCAAACAGGAUUAGAUACCCGUGUAGUC